GUGACUGCGUACCUUUUGUAUAAUGGGUCAGCGACUUAUAUUCUGUAGCAAGGUUAACCGUAUAGGGGAGCCGGAGGGAAACCGAGUCUUAAUUGGGCGUUAAGUUGCAGGGUAUAGACCCGAAACCCGGUGAUCUAGCCAUGGGCAGGUUGAAGGUUGGGUAACACUAACUGGAGGACCGAACCGACUAAUGUUGAAAAAUCA
rnacentral:rRNA from 1 species